rnacentral:rRNA from 1 species
AGUAACGCGUGGGUAACCUGCCUUAUACAGGGGGAUAACAGUCAGAAAUGGCUGCUAAUACCGCAUAAGCGCACGGGAUUGCAUGAUCCAGUGUGAAAAACUCCGGUGGUGUGAGAUGGACCCGCGUUGGAUUAGCUAGUAGGUGAGGUAACGGCUCACCUAGGCGACGAUACAUAGCCGACCUGAGAGGGUGAUCGGCCACACUGGGACUGAGACACGGCCCAGACUCCUACGGGAGGCAGCAUG